rnacentral:tRNA from 1 species
GGGAUUAUGCCUCCAUAGCAGAGCAUCUGCUUUGCGUGCAGAAGGCCCCAGGUUCAUUCCCUGGCAUCUCA